rfam:Erinaceus europaeus unplaced genomic scaffold scaffold00144, whole genome shotgun sequence
CGAUAAAAUAAUAAGGGCAACAAAGGGGGGAAAUGAUAGCCAUGGAAUCUCCAAUUGCAUGCAAGAAUAACCUGGAGAGACUGUAACAGCACAGGUCAACAUAAUACCUGUAGCUGCCACUCAACUUUCCUAUAUUU